GAGGCAAAGUACGUGGAGCUGGUGUAAGUGGCAGAUAACACAGAGGUGAGUGCUGGGGGCGGAGUCACCAUUUCCAUGGAGUAACAUUGAUUCUCCCUCUAGUACAAGAUGUUCAACAGCGACAUCAAGAGUCUGCACCUCCGAAUGCUGGAAAUCGCCAACAAGGUGGACGCGGCUCCGCCCCUGCGCCGGACCCCUGCUUCAGCAAAGUGGACAUUAGAGGAGAGAAAUACGGAAACUGCGGCCGAUCUCCAAAUGGGACUUACCUGCCUUGUGCCGACAGGUCUGCUACGCCACCCCCACAUUCAGAAAGAAGCCAACAGGUGCUGAUUGGACGUGUUGGAGACACAAGGAGAGGACAGACCUGAAGCCUCAGACCUUGGACUCCCAAGAAUUCCCAUUGUGGGUGCUGGGCCCCCACCUGCUGUUCUACAGACUUGAUGGGAUGUAUUUGGGGUGCAGAGGAUUUAGGGCCUGGGUACCCUGUGAAAACUUUUAGACUAAUCGCCUCUGGGAGCUCAAAAUGACACAAACAUUCCUACUGGCCCUGGACUCCCCCUUUUCUUCCCUCUGCCUGGGCUUAUGGGGGUGUCCCGGGGCCCAUAGUCCUGCUGUGUCAGUGGCCCCAUGGCUUGUAUUUAUGUGACGUGAGUGUGAGUGUGAGUGUGAGUGUGCAAGGGAGAUUGAGUCUGUGCAAUAACAGGAGGCCCUAUGGUUGGCAGGGCCCCAGGACGAGUGCUGCUUUUUAUAAUAAAUCUUUCUGGAGAGAAUUCUUGGAAGAACAAAUUAUUUCAAAUGAUUUGAGAAUAAAAGGGACAACGAAACCUCAUGUUUCUGCUCGGAAAAAAAUUGUUACCCCUUUAGCUGUUCCUCAGAGCUGCGAGGAGCUUACACUUUCCCCAAAUGGUUCAUGGGAGAAUUACUUUGAUUAAUGUUCCCUACAGAGUGUCACUGCUCCCUGUUGAAUGUCAUAUAAGUGUAAUUACUUUCCAUGAGCAGCAGGUGGCAGUGUCAUUGCUCAUUACAGAAUGUUAUAUAAGUGUAAUUGCUUUCCAUGAACAGCAGGUGGCGGUGUCAUUGUUACUUACAGAAUGUCAUAUAAGUGUAAUUACUUUCCAUGAGCAGCAGGUGGCAGUGUCAUUGCUUCUUACAGAAUGUUAAUUAAGUGUAAU